UCUAGAGGGUUGUGUGAUUUGAAUAAUAAAAACAAAAUUUGCACAUUUGUAAUUUUGUGCAAAUCAGUUUAGAUUAAGCAGUCAUACAUCUUUCUCGCCUAUUUUAGUUGCGUAGGCCUAUGUGAUCAUGGUGACAGAUAGGCCUACGUAUGCGAAGUGAACGGAAGGAUAGGAGGCAUCUCUUUUGCCAGCAAUCUACCGUGAUGAAGUGGGCUAAUUAUCUCAAAAUGAAUACACCUGCUGUUUCCAUAAUCGAUAUGGAUAAAGCUCAUACUCAGACCCAAUGCAUGAGAUCUCUCUCAAACUCCGGAGCGUCUUUUUACUUGAACUGGUUUUUGGCUCGACUAAACUCUAACAAUGACCCAUUGGCCAAAACAAUCUAAGGAGUCCAGGAAACCGAAGAAACGUGACAAGAAGCGGACAAGGGCGUUUUCAAACUAUAUCUAUAAGCUUCAGAAAGAGGGUAGCCAUCCGAACGUGGACGUUACGGUGUUCCUGCCUAAAGGAGACGUUUCACGUGUUACUGAGUUGGUUGGUGCUGAAGCAGCCCGGCUGUCGAAGUUCAACAAGCGGGGUGCCAUAACGCAGCGAGAGGUUCUCUCGGCACUGCAACGACUUCAGUGGGGGAAGGACGUUCACACCGCCCGAACAUGAGAUUUCAUGUCUAACGUUUUUUAUAAAUGUUUCAGUGAUGUACAUUUUAUUUAGUGUUCAAUAAACGUCAAUAUACUUUUAAA